CCUACGGGGGGCAGCAGUGAGGAAUAUUGGUCAAUGGGCGUAAGCCUGAACCAGCCAAGUCGCGUGAGGGAUGAAGGUUCUAUGGAUCGUAAACCUCUUUUAUAAGGGAAUAAAGUGUGGGACGUGUCCUGUUUUGUAUGUACCUUAUGAAUAAGGAUCGGCUAACUCCGUGCCAGCAGACGCGGUAAUACGGAGGAUCCGAGCGUUAUCCGGAUUUAUUGGGUUUAAAGGGUGCGUAGGCGGCCUUUUAAGUCAGCGGUGAAAGUCUGUGGCUCAACCAUGGAAUUGCCGUUGAAACUGGGAGGCUUGAGGAUGUUUGAGGCAGGCGGAAUGCGUGGUGUAGCGGUGAAAUGCUUAGAUAUCACGCAGAACCCCGAUUGCGAAGGCAGCCUGCCAAGCCAUGACUGACGCUGAUGCACGAAAGCGUGGGGAUCAAACAGGAUUAGAUACCCGUGUAGUC
rnacentral:rRNA from 1 species